rnacentral:rRNA from 1 species
AACGAACGCUGGCGGCAUGCCUAACACAUGCAAGUCGAACGAGACCUUCGGGUCUAGAGGCGCACGCGUGAGUAACGCGUGGGAACCUGCCAUUAGGUUCGGAAUAACUCCCCGCAAGGGGUGCUAAUACCGGUUAAAGUCUUAGGCCCAAAGAUUUAUCGCAUUUGGAUGGGCCCGCGUUGGAUUAGCUAGUUGGUAGGGUAAAAGCCUACCAAGGCGACGAUCCAUAGCUGGUCUGAGAGGAUGAUCAGCCACACUGGGACUGAGACACGGCCCAGACUCCUACGGGAGGCAGCAGUGGGGAAUAUUGGACAAUGGGCGAAAGCCUGAUCCAGCAAUGCCGCGUGAGUGAUGAAGGCCUUAGGGUUGUAAAGCUCUUUUACCCGGGAAGAUAAUGACAGUACCGGGAGAAGAAGCUCCGGCUAACUCCGUG